CCACAGACCUUGAUUGAAUUCACUUUGACUCAGCAGUGAUUCCUAAGUGGGACCGAGGGGAUAAACAGGAUUCUCUUGCACUGAUGACCAAUUACUUGCCAAAGAUCAGCUCUUGCACCCCUCAGGCUGGAGACCAUGGGCAAGAAGCUUCCAGUGUUGGCAGGGCAGGUUUGACUGCACAGCACUUUGGGCUGAUAGAUCCACACCAGGAAGCAGAGAAUGUCUUGGAGGUAUGACAACAUGCUCAGAGGAUGAGUACCAUGGGCCUCCCUCAGCUGUACACAGCCUGUCUGUCAGUAGUGGAAAGAAGCCAUUUCUCCCAGAAGUCAUGCAGCAGUGUCUGAAACUACAGACGUGAGAUUCUGGGAACUCAAAAUUUCUGAGACCUUUGAAACUUUCCCAUGUGAG
rnacentral:lncRNA from 1 species